rnacentral:misc_RNA from 1 species
AGGCAGGCAGGCACACACGCGCGCACGCUUACACAUAAUACAGUCGCAUACACCUACAAACACACCCACACAUAGUUUUAGGUGGUGCGACGUCUCUUACCCACCUGCAUUCUGGCCUUUUUCCUUCUUCGCUGCUGGCGGAGCUCUCGUGCGUCCCCCGCCCAUCUAAGUUGCUCUCCCUCUCUGUAUUCCUCUCUGCGCACCGCUUUCUCUUCCGCUGCUGCGCACGCACGCACGCUCGCACGGGUGGUGAGCUGCGUGUGCUGCGUCCCGGCGCGUAGCUCGCCCUAUUCCUGCCACGGACACGCACGCGUGCACGCACAGACGGGCUGCCGCCGUAUACAUAUAAGCACCCUCUCUCCUUUUCGCUGUAGCGCCGUAACACACGCCUUCUUGUGUCGGCAUCAAAUCUCAUGCACUCCUCGCUGCCGAUGGCUGAGCAGAUGGCGCGAGCAGGCGGCGGUGGCGGCGCGGCCAGCGGGGCCGACGAGGGCAUCACGAACUUGGUCGUGAAUGUUCCAGAGGCGGACUGGGCGACAAUCGACUGCAUCAGCAGCCACACGGAGGCGGCGGAGCGGGCGGCGAUGUGGCGCCGCCAUAGCGCCACAGCUGCGGCUUCUUCGUCGUACGGCGACACGUGGUCCGUGUACAGCCCCGAGGGCGAGGCGUUCUUCGCCGCCAUGGCAUGCGGCAUCGUUCUCGGCUGCCUCGGCGUCUUCAGCGACGCGUGUGCGCACUGGGUGAGCGCCUUCCGCUCUGGUAUUUGCGCGAACUUCUUCUGGCUGGGCCGCAACAUGUGCUGCGUCGACAGUCGUGAAUGCGGCGAGUACUACUCGUGGGGCGAGUUCUUCCUCGGCCGCGACAACCAUGUCGUGGCCUUUGUGGACUUCGUCAUGUACGUCAGCUUCUCCACCAUGGCGGCUGUCACGGCGGCGUACCUGUGCAAGACCUACGCCCCCUACGCCUCUGGCGGCGGCAUUGCAGAGGUGAAGACGAUCGUGUCGGGCCACCACGUCAAGCGGUAUCUUGGGGGCUGGACGCUGAUCACGAAGGUGGUGGGCAUGUGCUUCUCGACAGGGUCUGGCUUGACCGUGGGGAAGGAGGGCCCCUUUGUCCACAUCGGCGCCUGCGUCGGCGGCAUUAUCUCCGGCGCCCUGCCGAGCUAUCAGCAGGAGGCCAAGGAGCGCGAGCUCAUCACUGCCGGCGCGGGCGGUGGCAUGGCCGUUGCUUUCGGUGCCCCCGUCGGCGGGGUCAUCUUCGCCUUGGAGGAUGUCUCCACGUCGUACAACUUCAAGGCCCUCAUGGCGGCCCUCAUCUGCGGCGUGACGGCGGUGCUGCUCCAGUCGCGCGUGGAUCUCUGGCACACCGGCCGCAUCGUGCAGUUUAGUGUCAACUACCAGCACAACUGGCACUUCUUCGAGCUCCCCAUGUUUGCGGCGAUCGGAUGCUUUGGCGGGUUCAUCGGGUCCACCUUCAGCGUCGUGAACCUGCACGUCGGCCGGUGGCGCAAGAGGCACUUGCGGCAGUGGCGGAUCGUCGAGGUCGCCGUCGUGGCUGCCGUCACCGCUGUCGUGAACUUCUUGACGCCCUACGGCUCCGGUAGCAUGCUGGAGCUUCUCGGCGACUGCUUUCAGGACUGCACACCAAACGGCACCAUUGAGAUGUGCGAGGACAGCGACAUGCGCGCCUUCUUCUCUCUCCUCGUCACCGCCACGGCAAAAUUUGCCAUGUUCUCCUACACCGUCGGCACCUUCCUGCCCGCCGGCAUCCUUGUGCCGUCGCUCACGAUCGGCGCUCUGUACGGCCGCGCCUUUGGUAUGAUGUUCCGCGCGUUGCAGGAGACCUACGCCAGCUCGUACAUCUUCACGGAGUGCUACGACCAGGACCUGUGCGUCAUCCCUGGCGUGUACGCGAUCGUCGGCGCGGCGGCCAUGCUGACCGGCGUCACCCACAUGACCAUCUGCCUGGCAAUCAUCAUGUUCGAGCUCACGGGCUCGCUGGAGUACAUGGUGCCCGUCAUUGUGGGCAUACUCUGCGCCAAGGCCGCCGGCGAGGCUGUCGGGGUGAAGGGUACGUACGAAAUCGGCAUCGAGGAGAACAAGCUGCCUUAUCUAGACCCGAAGAAGGAGUUCUAUCUCGACUUCGUUGCCCAGAACGUCUACGGGAACAAGCAGUUCACCGUCCUGACGGCGUACGGGCUGCAGGUGCGCGACAUCAACGAACUCGUCACGAAGAUGAACGUCACCGGCUUCCCCGUCGUCGAGUCGCCCAGUGACAUGACGCUGCUCGGAUACGCGCCUGCAAAGAAGAUUGUGCGGGCCCUCCAAGUGGCCGCGGCGCGCAACAGUGACGUGAACCUCAACACAUACAUUCGCUUCAAGACAACGCCGUCCCACUCGCGCGAAGCCACCUUCCUCGAGGUGGACCUCACGAACAUCCUGGAGAGCUGCCUGCUGCAGGUAGAGCCGGAGUGCUCCGUGAAGAAGUUGCUGUACCUGUUCAAGUCCCUCGGCACCCACCACAUCCUCGUCUGCCGCUACUCGAAGUUCGAGGGCUUUAUUAGCAAGAAGGACUUCAUCAACUUCAUGCGCGUCAAGGAACGCGAGGAAAACAUGGAGGACGAUGAGCUGGAGCGAGAGCGGUGUGAACGAGUCCGUCAGGAGCGCCAUCACGAGGCCGCAACGGCAGCGGUCGACGUCGCGCCAGUGGCUGCCCGGUACAACUGAGAGCGGGUGGUGGUGGUGGUCGUGGUGGUGUCCAUGCGGUAAUACCGACACCGUUGCUGCCGCUGCUGCUGCCGCUUUUUUUUUUACUUGUAAUUCUGUUCCGUGCGUUUGUAUUCGUUGUGUGUGUGUUUUGUCUUCGUCUCUCCGCCAUGGCCCAUCCCUCGCGAUGGCGGACCUCCGCAUCUUCGUGUGUCCUGUAUUAACCGCGCGUUCGCUCGUACGCAUCGGCUAACC